rnacentral:rRNA from 1 species
UGCCUUACACAUGCAAGUCGAACGGCAGCGGGGGAAAGCUUGCUUUCCUGCCGGCGAGUGGCGAACGGGUGAGUAAUACAUCGGAACGUGCCCUGUAGUGGGGGAUAACUAGUCGAAAGAUUAGCUAAUACCGCAUACGACCUGAGGGUGAAAGUGGGGGACCGCAAGGCCUCAUGCUAUAGGAGCGGCCGAUGUCUGAUUAGCUAGUUGGUGGGGUAAAGGCCUACCAAGGCGACGAUCAGUAGCUGGUCUGAGAGGACGAUCAGCCACACUGGGACUGAGACACGGCCCAGACUCCUACGGGAGGCAGCAGUGGGGAAUUUUGGACAAUGGGCGAAAGCCUGAUCCAGCAAUGCCGCGUGUGUGAAGAAGGCCUUCGGGUUGUAAAGCACUUUUGUCCGGAAAGAAAUGGCUCUGGUUAAUACCCGGAGUCGAUGACGGUACCGGAAGAAUAAGGACCGGCUAACUACGUGCCAGCAGCCGCGGUAAUACGUAGGGUCCAAGCGUUAAUCGGAAUUACUGGGCGUAAAGCGUGCGCAGGCGGUUGUGCAAGACCGAUGUGAAAUCCCCGGGCUUAACCUGGGAAUUGCAUUGGUGACUGCACGGCUAGAGUGUGUCAGAGGGAGGUAGAAUUCCACGUGUAGCAGUGAAAUGCGUAGAGAUGUGGAGGAAUACCGAUGGCGAAGGCAGCCUCCUGGGAUAACACUGACGCUCAUGCACGAAAGCGUGGGGAGCAAACAGGAUUAGAUACCCUGGUAGUCCACGCCCUAAACGAUGUCAACUAGUUGUUGGGGAUUCAUUUCCUUAGUAACGUAGCUAACGCGUGAAGUUGACCGCCUGGGGAGUACGGUCG